CAGUAGCCACGGGAAAACGUAGGUCCCGAGCGUUGUUCGGAAUUACUGGGCGUAAAGCGCACGUAGGCGGAUAUUUAAGUCAGGGGUGAAAUCCCGCAGCUCAACUGCGGAACUGCCUUUGAUACUGGGUAUCUUGAGUAUGGAAGAGGUUAGUGGAAUUGCGAGUGUAGAGGUGAAAUUCGUAGAUAUUCGCAGGAUCACCAGUGGCGAAGGCGGCUAACUGGUCCAUAACUGACGCUGAGGUGCGAAAGCGUGGGGAGCAAGCAGGAUUAGAUACCCGAGUAGUCCCUGUCUCUUAUAC
rnacentral:rRNA from 1 species